AAUUGGUUUAUUCUUUAUGGUUAUAGCUGGGAUGACAAUUUUAAAGUCAAACGGUAAAAAUGAGCCUGGUCCCCUAACUAGUGGUAAGGAAAGGCUUACCAAGGGUACGAGGGUAGGGUCCUGAGAGGAGAUCCCCCACACUGGUAUUGAGACACGGACCAGAUUCUUACGGGAGGCAGCAGUGAGGAAUAUUGGACAAUGGGCGCAAGCCUGAUCCAGCCAUGCCGCUUGCAGGAUGACGUUCCUAUGGAUUGUAAACUGCUUUUGUACAGGAAGAAACAUUUCUACGUGUAGAACCUUGACGGUACUGUAAGAAUAAGGAUCGGCUAACUCCGUGCCAGCAGCCGCGGUAAUACGGAGGAUCCAAGCGUUAUCCGGAAUCAUUGGGUUUAAAGGGUCCGUAGGCGGUUUAAUAAGUCAGUGGUGAAAGCCCAUCGCUUAACGGUGGAACGGCCAUUGAUACUGUUAAACUUGAAUUAUUAGGAAGUAACUAGAAUAUGUAGUGUAGCGGUGAAAUGCUUAGAGAUUACAUGGAAUACCAAUUGCGAAGGCAGGUUACUACUAAUUGAUUGACGCUGAUGGACGAAAGCGUGGGUAGCGAACAGGAUUAGAUACCCUGGUAGUCCACGCCGUAAACGAUGGAUACUAGCUGUUGGGAGCAAUUUCAGUGGCUAAGCGAAAGUGAUAAGUAUCCCACCUGGGGAGUACGUUCGCAAGAAUGAAACUCAAAGGAAUUGACGGGGGCCCGCACAAGCGGUGGAGCAUGUGGUUUAAUUCGAUGAUACGCGAGGAACCUUACCAAGGCUUAAAUGUAGAUUGACCGUUUUGGAAACAGAACUUUCGCAAGACAAUUUACAAGGUGCUGCAUGGUUGUCGUCAGCUCGUGCCGUGAGGUGUCAGGUUAAGUCCUAUAACGAGCGCAACCCCUGUUGUUAGUUGCCAGCGAGUCAUGUCGGGAACUCUAACAAGACUGCCAGUGCAAACUGUGAGGAAGGUGGGGAUGACGUCAAAUCAUCACGGCCCUUACGCCUUGGGCUACACACGUGCUACAAUGGCCGGUACAGAGAGCAGCCACUGGGCGACCAGGAGCGAAUCUAUAAAACCGGUCACAGUUCGGAUCGGAGUCUGCAACUCGACUCCGUGAAGCUGGAAUCGCUAGUAAUCGGAUAUCAGCCAUGAUCCGGUGAAUACGUUCCCGGGCCUUGUACACACCGCCCGUCAAGCCAUGGAAGCUGGGGGUGCCUGAAGUCUGGUGACCGCAAUUAAGGCUUCCUUCCGGUUCCC
rnacentral:rRNA from 1 species